UACAGAGGGUGCGAGCGUUAAUCGGAAUUACUGGGCGUAAAGCGUGCGUAGACGGUAGCGUAAGUCAGAUGUGAAAGCCCCGGGCUCAACCUGGGAACUGCAUUUGAGACUGCUCUGCUCGGGUGCGGAAGAGGGAAGCGGAAUUUCCGGUGUAGCGGUGAAAUGCGUAGAUAUCGUGAGGAACACCAGAGGCGAAGGCGGCUACCUGGACAAUUGCUGACGCUCAGGCACGAAAGCGUGGGGAGCAAAAGGG
rnacentral:rRNA from 1 species